rnacentral:rRNA from 1 species
GGCCGACAGGCGUAGUCGAUGGAUAACGGGUUGAUAUUCCCGUACCGGUAAAAAACCGUCCAUACUGAUUUUUUGAUGCUAACUGUGAGAAGCCGUUUGUAACCUCUUCGCCUUUUUGGGUGUUGGGGAGCUUGUGGUGGAUUGCAGGACCCGAUUUUUUGAGGUAAACGUAUUAACAGGUGUGACGCAGG